rnacentral:rRNA from 1 species
UACGUAGGGUGCAAGCGUUAAUCGGAAUUACUGGGCGUAAAGCGCACGUAGGCGGUUUUUUAAGUCAGAUGUGAAAGCCCCGGGCUCAACCUGGGAAUUGCAUUUGAAACUGGGAAACUAGAGUGUGUCAGAGGGGGGUAGAAUUCCACGUGUAGCAGUGAAAUGCGUAGAGAUGUGGAGGAAUACCGAUGGCGAAGGCAGCCCCCUGGGAUAACACUGACGCUCAUGCACGAAAGCGUGGGGAGCAAACAGG